rnacentral:rRNA from 1 species
CACCUUCGGGUGAGUGGCGGACGGGUGAGUAACGCGUGGGAACGUGCCCUUUGGUUCGGAACAACACAGGGAAACUUGUGCUAAUACCGAAUGUGCCCUUCGGGGGAAAGAUUUAUCGCCAUUGGAGCGGCCCGCGUUGGAUUAGCUAGUUGGUAGGGUAAAAGCCUACCAAGGCUACGAUCCAUAGCUGGUCUGAGAGGAUGAUCAGCCACACUGGGACUGAGACACGGCCCAG